rnacentral:rRNA from 1 species
AUUGAACGCUGGCGGAAUGCUUUACACAUGCAAGUCGAACGGCAGCACAGGGGCAACCCUGGUGGCGAGUGGCGAACGGGUGAGUAAUACAUCGGAACGUGCCCGGUCGUGGGGGAUAACGUAGCGAAAGUUACGCUAAUACCGCAUACGAUCUGAGGAUGAAAGCGGGGGACCUUCGGGCCUCGCGCGAUCGGAGCGGCCGAUGUCAGAUUAGGUAGUUGGUGGGGUAAAGGCCUACCAAGCCGACGAUCUGUAGCUGGUCUGAGAGGACGACCAGCCACACUGGGACUGAGACACGGCCCAGACUCCUACGGGAGGCAGCAGUGGGGAAUUUUGGACAAUGGGCGCAAGCCUGAUCCAGCCAUUCCGCGUGCAGGACGAAGGCCUUCGGGUUGUAAACUGCUUUUGUAUGGAACGAAAAGGCUCUGGCUAAUACCUGGGGCUCAUGACGGUACCGUAAGAAUAAGCACCGGCUAACUACGUG